CUUUAUCUCACAGGUACGGGCACCGUAUCACACAAGCUUAUCUCUAUCCUCCUGUAUGACUUUAGACAACCACAUCUACUCAUACAUUAUUCAAGCGCCUCGAGACCUAGUAUCAAAGUGUAUCCUGGUCAGGUAGCGCAAGAACUCGAAACAGUCUCGGACUGACACGGCCCCAACCGCGCGCGAGCGGCGAGGGCGCCGUAGAAAGCUCGGUCGGUCAGUCGGUGAUUCCUUCAGCUUGCGCCCUGGCGGCUGACAGCAUUUCCCCUUCUCCGGAGCCGCAGGAGGUACACAAAAUUCGUCGCUCUGCUCUGCUCUCCUCUCGGCGGGUGGGUGGGUAAGAAACGGUAGACCUCUCGUCCUCUCCUAUGACCCGAUUGCAGAUCCAACCCCAAAUCCGCAAUAGUUGUCUCAUAGGAUCCAUUCGUUCUUGCUUCUAUUCUGCACAGAAAAAUUUCAUGGAGAUAGAUAUCCAACCUAGCUAGGAGACAUCGGUCCUGCCAAUUUUUUUUUUUUUUUUUUUUGUGAGUGUCUUUUUCAUUCAAGAGGUCUAUUAUCUCUGCAAUACCAGCCAGAGCAUUUUCAGUGUCAUAGUGUGCUAUGUGCACCGGAUAUAAGUUCUUGUGAUGUUCAUAUGUUUCAAUCUUCAGCAGUUGAGCAGAUGCAUAUACAGACACACAGUACCACAAUUAGAUUCUGUUGGUCAAAUGUGCUACUACUAGUAGUAGUAGUAGUAGUUUUCAUGAACUUUGUGUUUGUUUGUAUUGAGGAGGAAAUGGUAGUGGCUGCCAAUUUUCGACCAACAUUUGGUGGCAUGCAAGUACAUCUUACUUCGCCUGUAGAUGUUUACAUCUUCUCUAUCCAGGUUAUCUUUGUGCCUUGUAUGUCGGUAAUGUGCGCAGACCGCAGAUGUAGGAUUAUAAUAUUUGGGCUGCAACGUGGUUUUGAUAAGAAAUUAAUGAACACUUAAUCUGUUUGGUAGUUAUUGGUUAUGCUGAUUUGAGGAUGAUGUGAUGGGAUCACCAAAGCAUGUUCCUGUCUUUACACUAAAGUCAUUAAGGUGUCCAACUCCUGCCUCUGAUCCCAGUAUUUGUUCCAUAAUCUAAUACAUCGGUGGUGUCCUUCGAUACACACAAAUAAGAUUAUAAUGUACUGCUUGUUAUUAUUAUCAUUAGUGCUGCAAUUGUAGAUAAGAAUAAAUGGUUGAUGAAGUGAUAAAAAAAGUUCAAGCAGAUAUUUCCUCAAAGCUUUAAACAUGGAGAGGCCACAGGUCAACAUGAAAGUUACUUGUUCAUUUGGUUUUACAUCAAUAUUGUUUUCUAAGAACAUAUUUGUACAUCAAUAUUGCCUUCAAAAAACUGGAAGAAUGCUGAGUACCAGCUAUUAGCACCAAAGUAAACAUCAAAUCGGGUUUAGAGAAAUUUAGGUCCCUGAAGAACCAGGAUACACAGUUUUAUUUAGUACUAUAACACAGCUCUUCUGCAUGCCCCAGAAAAGAAAAUUGAUGUUCCUGGAGAGCCAGGAUUUCCUUUUCUCCGAGUUUUUUUCUGCCUUUUGCCCUUUCCCAGUUAUGAAGGAGCAAGUACAGUUUGACAGUCCCAAUUGUUUCAUGCUUGUCUUAAUGGUGAACAAUCAACUUAAGCCAACUACAUAUAUAUUUUUAUUAUUUUCUUUGUGUAUUAUCCAUUAGAGAGAGUGAUUAAAUCUCGUCAUUACUUUAUUCUUCUGUUGAUAUGAGUUACUGUGAGGUGUUAUUUUCAACAAAAAAAACAAAGGAGUGCAAGGCUGUUCAGCUGUGCUUACAAACCUCAUGGAGUUCCCUCCAAACAAAUGGUGCACGGAUUCUGCAAAUAGGAAAUUCAUAAAUAUUUUUUUCUUGAACACCCAAGAGAGCUUCAUAUCUUUCUAUUACUUUUUUCAAGAAUGUGCAUUGCACGUGUUUCACUAAGAGGCGCUAGGCAAAGUUUACAGGUGCGACUAAACAAAGAGAACAAACAGCUAGAGUCCAAACUAUCAACUACAAUUACAAAGACCAUCCGAGAGGUCUAGGAGAAAGAAAUAGGCUGAUGCAAAUGGUUACAAGGAGGGUAACCAUGAGGUAGUGGUGCCUAAACAUCAAGCCAGAGGGCUAAGCUAACGUGCUUGAUCUGGUAGCAAGAAGCCUAACGACAAUCUCUUUGCCUCUUCUUUAAUCUUCUCCACUAGCUGGGGUGGCCAAAGCAAAACUGCCCGAAAUACCUGUGCAUUCCACUAAUUCCAAACUCUCAAACAUGUCAGCAGGCAUGACUAAAUUGAAGCGGCAAGAGAAAGAAGAAUAAGAACCUUACCCUCACUUAGAAGACAAGGAGCAGGCUGCUGUACUGAAGUUCAUGAAUUUUGUUACCCUUAGAGUUUGCAGAUUGGCUGUUUGAUUAUAGACCUGAUUGCAUUUGCGCUUUUGUUUGUAUGAUUGCUAUGUGCAAAGUGGUUAUUCAUUCUAUUAUCCAUAGCUAGCAUAGUUAGUUAAAGUGUCAAACUGUUAACAAAAUGUUGAAGGUAUCAUGCUAUAGAAGGCACAUUGAAUUGUUAUGCUGCUGCUUUUCUUAAAAUAAACAAUUCUGUUUAGAUCUUCAUUGUUUAUUAAUUAUUCGGCUUAAAAUUUGAUGCUUCAAAUUAUGUGAAACUUUCAAGAAUCGGGAAAACAUAAUGAUCUGAUUUCAUGAUUUUAUUCAUCAAAUCUUAUCUGGAUAGCUGUAACAAUCAGAGUAUUGACCCUUUAUUUUGUAGGUCCUUACAUGGGGCCACGGUAGCUGGAUUAUGUUUGUCUAUCAUAGGUAGUUAGGUACAUGCCAGGAAUGUGUUUGCUUAUCUUCACCUCUUCUUAGCUUGUCUACUAUUGUAAGGUGCCUUGCACACCUGGAGUUACCUAGGACUAAAACAACUCUACACAACUGUUUCUUUAUAAACAUUUCUCAUUUGCAACUAGGAAUGAAAGAUACUCACCAAAUUAUUUCACUAGUUGGAUCAUUGGAUGGCAUUACAUGAUUGUAUAUACUAAAUACUCUUCUGCUGCACCUUGAUAACCUGAUCCUACAAUGAAGGAAAGAGGAUUGUUUAAAAGAGAACUAGUUUAUAACUUCAUUUAUUCAGUAGAUGGAUGGCUACAUGAUCAAACAGGUAGGCUAUAAAAAAACUUCUUUAGUCAGUGAGGUGUUUAUUUCUUCUAUUUGAACAAUUACCUUUCAUUCACUUUAUUCUUGACUUGUUUGGCAUGAUGUGCUUUUUAAGGCACAACAUUAAGUAAGAAAUACUGCUCCCAUUAUGACUUUUAGGUUUGCACUACACAAUACUGGUAAAAGCAUUCUCUACAUAGUCUUUUACAAAGGUGCUUGAACAGGAUCCAUAUGCAAUACCUUUUAUUGCAUUAGCCAUUCCCAUCAUUGCCUGCAAAUAGCACUCUGAUGCAAGAGAACGAACCCAGGGUUAUACCGAAUGGCAGGGCAAUUCUCCUUUGGCAGGGAUGGCGAUAGCGCUGUGCAUUCUCCAAUGCCUGCUAUGUUGGCCUCCAUGCCAGAGGAGAACCGCACUGUGAUUCUUACCCUGAACACUGCAUAGCCAUCGUUGAUCUCUGUUGGUUUUGUUUUUUGAGAAAGUCCUUUCACUCUUCUUUAAUUUGCUCCUCAUUCUUUUUUGUGCUCACUCUGUUUCUUGCCUUGCUCUGUAUGUUGCCAUUGCAAAUAUAUAGGGCCGAGACAGGCAAGCAAUAUCUGGAUAUGCUUCUGGAUAUACUUCCAAAUCAGGACAAUCCUUUCAGGAGGCCCAUUGAUGCUAUGCUUUGUCAUGGAACAUUCCCUUGGAUCUACUCAUUUGGUGCUGUUCAAAGCAGCCUAAGUUGAAGAAUCCAGUAGAAAUUGCACAGAGUAAAAAGAAAAUGGCAUACAGCGGGAAUCAUUAUUAUGACAUGUCCAUCUCACCUAUAAUAAGUCAAGGGUGAAUGCGGGAGACCAGCUACAAAUUGUAAAGAGAUCCCAUGGUGAGGAGAAUAGAUUGAAAUUCGAUUAAUUUCAGGGAAGUGAAAAUCAGCAAGAUAGACAAGAAAAUGGCACAAUAGCAUCCCACCAUAUGAAGAGCGCAUGACAGGAGCUUUUGUUGUUCGAGUACAGAAGGAGAAGAGGGAAACAUCCACCCUUUGUAUACAUUGAGCGUCUGAAGAUGGCAAGUACUACAAACUGGUGUGACAUAUUACAGCAAUUGUAAGUCACUCACUAUGUUCACUAUUGCAAAUGCAUACUUCCGGCAUGAGGGAGAUGCCAGUGGUGCCUGGAAAAAUAUGCUUCUUUUGAUCUGAAAAAUAUGCCAAGUACCACAGCUGACAAGCAAAGAGAGAAGAGAAGAUCACGCGGAUAUGCUGAUACCAGCUUCCAUGCCAUGCUGUCAAAUCUAGCAACAGUUCUAUGCAUAUAAAUACUGCAUUGAUCUAACUUCGGAUGCAACAAGGCAGUCAUCAGGGAAGCCAAAUAAGCAGAGUGCCGUAGUGCACUGCCGUCUCCCGUGUGCAAGCAUAUGCGAGUCGAGGAUUACCGGGCCAUUUCUCCUUGGGCAGAGUAAUUGAAUUUUACUUUGCUGGAUCCGGUUUGCUCUGCCAAAGGAGAUUUGCCCAGCAAUCCACAUUUGUAAUAUUUUAGUAACACGGUUAUCAUUGUUGGUAGAAUGUAUUGCUUAUGUGUGCUUUGUCCAAUGCAUGUGUGCCUGUUUGGGUUCGUACACUUGCGCUUUUAUGAAAAUCCUAAUAUUCAAUUGCUAUUCCA